rnacentral:rRNA from 1 species
CAGCCGCCGCGGGAAUACGAAGGGUGCAAGCGUUAAUCGGAAUUACUGGGCGUAAAGCGUGCGUAGGCGGUGAGUUAAGUCUGCUGUGAAAUCCCCGGGCUCAACCUGGGAAUGGCAGUGGAUACUGGCUCGCUAGAGUGUGUCAGAGGAUGGUGGAAUUCCCGGUGUAGCAGCGAAAUGCGUAGAUAUGCGGAGGAACACCGAUGGCGAAGGCAAUCCCCUGGGCCUGCACUGACGCUCAUGCACGAAAGCGUGGGGAGCAAACAGGAUUAGAUACCCCGGUAGUCCCUGUCUCUUAUAC